rnacentral:hammerhead_ribozyme from 1 species
AUCCAGUGACGAGUCCCAAAUAGGAUGAAAUGCGCAUAAUGGAU